GCGCAAUCGUCAUUGUGAACCAGCCAGUGCUAAGCCAAGUGUUGGAGAUCUUCCUGGAAGGAACAACAAUUAAGUCUGCAAGCUGGGCUAAAUGUUCCUAAGACCUCUGGGCUGGAGAAGAGCUGACUAAUGGCAAAGUGGGGAGGAGGAAGCACCUUCCCUUAAGUUAGAGCCUGUCUUCACCUCUGUGCUGUGACAGUACACCUAACCUGGGCUGCAGGUUAAUAUGGACACAUAAGAAUACUGAGUCAAUAAUACACUAUCAGCUUCUUUAAGACAGUUUCCUAAAGGUAAGAGGGACGAGGUUUCUGGAAGUGGCAAUGUACUUGGGCACCUUACAGAUUCAUGUGUGAUUCCCCUGAGUAGGGGCGGUGGUCACUAGUAGAGGGAUGUCUGCAGAAAUAGGUCCAGUAGCCAAUCCACAAAGUUCUGGCUCCCUUCUUACCAGCUGGGACUACCAGGGAGAUGGAAUGGACAUGGUGAGCAAGAGCUUUUCAGUGGUCAGAAAUCAGCGGAUUUAAUGAGCCGGACAUGCCUUGAUGUGAGAUUGUUUCCUAAAGAUCAUAAGUGGCCAAAGGGUAGGAUGACUUAGUCUCUAACUUAAAUCAGCUUAAAAUGAUUCCUUAAGGAGUCCAGAGCAAUGUGUAAUUAUCCCAAGUAGCUAGCACUGCAGAAGCAUUUCAGGAAGACUUAAAUUUAGCAAUCAUUAAACUAAAAGGAGAGAAGCGUUUUCUACUGAAGAGAUGGUUUCUACUUAUUUCAAAUUUUCCAUCAAGUGAAAAAUGAAAUUGUAAAUAAGUGCCCUCUUUCUUUAUCCCUUAUGAAGUGCCUUCUUGGUUACAGAACUUAUUUACAUGAGCAGUAGUCUCUCUUAUUCACAGGUUUUAAAGGUCAACCAAGACAGGCUUUGGUGGCAGCUGGUGGUGACGGCCAGGAUCCCCAAUGUGGUCUACUGGUGGGACUACCUUGGAGUCUGCGGGGCCUUCCAGGGGAAGAGGCCACAGCGCCAACAGCCAGCCCUUCCUCCCUUUCCUCCCCCAUACCCGUGCCCACUCCUGCCGGGCCAGCCCUCAAGCAGUCCCAAGGUGUCUAAGAUUUUAAAAGACAGCUCUUCCACACAAAGAAUUUGGGGACACUGGACUUUGGUCUGUCUUUUGGGUGCUAUUCUCCAAUACUCCCAGCUGCCUAUGCUAGCCGAAUAACAGAUUUAGUACUUUUCUAGCCUUUACUUAUCAUACCCCUUUAGUUUUAGGAUAAGCAAUCAACUCAAUUACAGUUUUUGUAAGGGGAGGGAAAAUUACAUAUUAAAUGCACAUUAAUUAUGAAAAGUACAGGUUUUGGAAUUCAGGAAACAAGGAAAUUUAAUGGUUAGACCAGUCAGAUGAUUGCUAGUCACUAGCCCCUUUUCACAUGGAAGGUCUCUGAGGCUCUAAAAGGUCAGAUAACUUGUCCAAGGCCAUGCGAGUAGAGAGUGAUGGAGUCAGAGUUCCAACCACAGCCGUGCAUGUGGGCUACCCAAGACAGUGCUACCCUCGAUACCCAGUUGUCCUUGUUCCACCUAGGAUUGGCCAGCUCAUGACCCUUCAUCUCUCUGCUUCAUCCUGUGGCACUCCUCCCACCCAGCCCUCCAGGCCGUAGCCAUGGGGGGCCGUUCUCCAACCCACUGCCUGUUCUCUCACACCGCACUCCUCCCUCCCCCUCCCUGGUCCUUCCUUCCUGGCUAAAGUCUUCUCGGCCUGGGACUCAGCUUAAAUACACCUCUUUGAGAAAGUCUUUCCCUCAUCUCCUAGACCAGAAAUAUUUUCAAUCUAUAGUGAAAAAUACAUUUUACAUCAUAAUUGGAAAAAUGUAUAUACAUCUUCAAACCAUAUACAUAUACAACCAUAUACAUAUAUGGUGUUCAUUUUAUUUUUUUAAAGUGUGAAAUUCAAUGGUAUUUAGCUUAUAUUCACAGGAUUGUGCAACCAUCACCACUAAUAUUCCAGAAUAUUUUCAUCACCUCAAAAAGAAAUGUAUAUUUAUCAAUCAGUCAAACUGAAAUAAAAGUUUCAUGAGACAAUACCUUGCCUAACUUACUAUGUGAGGUGAAUGCUGAUAUUGUCUGUUCUCGUCUGUUCUGUUCCAUUUGAUUCUAUUCUUCCCAUUACAUUAGAGAAAAAUCUUUCAGUGCCUCACUACGUUGCUCUCACAUCUCAUUACUGAGUUGUAACUAACAGUUUGGAAAAGACUGCCCUAGACCAGGCCAUGCCUCCCUGCCCUGCAUGUUACAGACCAUUUUCUUCCCCUUGCAUGACCCUCAGCACACUGGCCGCUUCCUGGUAGAUGUCUAAGACUUGAUAUUCUUGGAGGGCAGGGUCUUGUGUUUGACUGUGUCCCCAGCGCCAGGUGCAGGCUGAGCAAGUCAUAGGUACUCAGUCAAUAUUGGUUGACUGAAUAAAUGUUUGCCUUUGAAUGGGAAGAAACCCAGACACUUCUUUUUGGUUAGUGUGCACACAAGUAACAUGAAAUGCAAUAAAGCUAUUAUAUUGCACUUCUAACCCCUGUAAGCCAGCAGCUAUGUAGUCUUUUUCUCAAAGAACAGGGAUUUGGGCUUGAAUUAUUCAUGUAAUUAUGUCAGUGCUCCCUUUCCCUUUGCCUCAUAAACCCAGCCUGAGUAGCCCAGUCACCAGGAGGACCCUAUAGGUGGGCUCUAUCAGUGCCAUGAGCAGUGGGCCUUCAAUAAAAACCUUCAGCAAAAGCUCUGUGUUGGGCGACUCAGCCAACGACGACCCUCCCCCUCCCCUGCGAUCUCCACUGCCCACCUGCCCUGUG